GGGUGAAGAAGGCUUUCCUGGAAAAGCUGGCCCCAAGGGUGAGCCAGGGAGCCGUGGCCAAACUGGUGAACAGGGUGAAGCAGGUCUUCCUGGCCCCCAAGGUUCACCUGGACUGGGAGGACAGAAAGGAGAUCAGG